UUUUUCAAAUUAACAAGUGGCAAUGUAAAAAGUUGAGAAGUAACUACAUAUUACUGAUGGAAAGAAAUACAUGGCGAGGACAUAACGAGGUGGAAGAAAAAAAGGCAUAAUAAAAAUGGUGUUGUUGUUAAAGGGGUGAGAGAGAAGAGAGUUUCUUCAGGAAUUCAUAAAUGAUUUAUUGUGAUAAACCUAUUUCACAAAUUAUGCUAUUUAAUAUUUUAUAAAUCAUGGUAAUCAUCAUCUUAUAAUACUAUGUGAUUUUUAAGCAUUGUACGAAAUAUAUGCACUUACGAAGUUUCACAUAGAAUUUUUGGUGGCCCGGUAUGAAUUACAAAGUAUUUUGGCUUCUUUAACAUUGAAGCAUAGCACAUUACUCAAUCGUACGUAAGUGCAUGCUAUUAUAGUUCCAUUAUCAUAGAAACAUAGUAUAUAUACAUAGCAAUACAUAGCCAAUUCAAGUUUACCAGCUAAAUACCCAAGGAAUGAGGUAAACAAGGGAUAAAAAGAAAAUUACAGAGGGUGUAACUGGUUACAUGUUCGUUAUCUUUCAUAUAUGGUCAAAAUACCCAGGUGAUACUGAUUACACCAAAUAUGUAACUGGUUACAGGCCGACUCUAACUUGCAAUUUAUCCAUUUUCACAAGUGCUAACCGGUUGCGCUCUGUCUAUAACCAGUUACAGGUCUGUGCAUAACCAAUUUUCACUUCAAUUUUCAUGUUUCCUCCAAUUUUAACUACAUAGAAUCAUGUUUCAACAUAGUAUGAAGCUAGAAACACAUAGUAGAGGACAUGAAAUUAAUUCACUCAAGACAUUCAUAAUCAAGAAACACACUUGUCAAGAACUCAAACAAAUAGUGUAUUUUCAUGAAUUCAUGCCCUAUUCCCAUCACGUGUUCAACCUAAAUGUUCGAAUUCCCAAUUAAAUCCUAAGAGAAACCUACUCUAAAACAUGGAUUGGAGAAGGAUUAGAGGUGAUGAUGAUUCAAGUUCCUCAAGCUUUUUCUUUAAGGUUUCCAAAAAUGCUUCUACCUCGAGAGCUCAAAUCUUUGACAUGCAAAGAUGUUCCAAAUUGAUCUGACAUGCAAAGAUGUUCCAAAUUGAUCAAGAACAACCUUUUCGUGUCUCCCUCUUUCUCUCCUUGUAGAGUCCUGACUUUGGAGUAACCUUCAAGAACACGUGAUUUUCCUCUUCAAACUCUAAAGGACUUCUACGUUGAUCUGUAUAACUUUUCUUACGUUCCUGAGCCUUCUUCAUAUUUCUUGGAUCAUUUUUAUCUUUUCUAUGGUUUCUUGGAUUAUAUCUGGUCCAAGAAUCCCUUUAUCUCCAACUUCAUCAUAACAUAAUGGUCUUAUACACUUUCUUUCAUACAAUGCCUCAUACGGUUCCAUUCAGAUACUCAAGUGAUAACUAUUGUUAUAGGAGAAUUAAAUCAAGGGCAAGUAGUUUUUCUAAUUUUCUCCACUUUCCAAGAUACACACCUGAAAAAUAUUCUCAACAGUCUGAAUGGUUCUUUCAGUCUACUCAUUGGAUUGAGGGUGAUUAGAGGUACUGGGGUUCAAAUUAGUUUCCAUUGCAUGAUGGAAAGACUUCCAACAACAAACUUUAUGUUCUUAAAUGCCUCUUUCUUACACUACUCAAUGACUUUCUAUUUAGGACUCCCCUUAAAUAUGAGAAUCCCUCUCACUUUAUUUGAAUAACUAAACCCUAGUGUUUUGUGUUUAACCCAAUUAUCAGUGUUGAAUAUUAUAACACAACUAGACAAACCUAUAAACAUGCCAAGUUACUGAAGCAUAGUGUGGUGUACAUAAAGAAAUAACAAGGAUUCUAAACCUUAGUGCUUUUGUGAUCUUCAACGAAUAUUUCUUGCUUUCGAAUGAAGGACUUGAGCUCCUUAUAUAGAAAAAAUAUUUUGGGCUUUUCUGUUUAGAUCUUUGCUUUAAUUUCACAUAGAAUCUUUGCAUAAUCACUUGGAUAUUAUUUGUUCCAUAAAUAUCUCCAACAGAAAGACAUGAUUUUGUUUGAUUCAAAUUCAAAUUUAAAUCACAUUUAAAUCUAAUUUGAUCUUUAGAGCUAUUCAACAAAUCAUAUAAUCAUAUUUCUAAAUAAAAGCAAUAAAAUCUAACAGAAUAUUCAAUAGAAGAUUAAUCCAAAAAUGCCAGAAUUUGGACUAUUGAGCAAGGUCCAGAUGUCGUACCCACAUGUUGUGAAGUCGAGUUCAACAUGUGUCCCUUCUGCACAAGAAAAUCAUCUUGAAGCAACUUGGAAAACUUGAACACUUCUCCAUGAUGUUGCUUUGCAAAAUGCAGUUAAUCCAAAUGAAAUAAAAAAAAGCCCCCGAGCCUUACAGGCCAAGCACAUCACACAUAUCAACGAGAGAUUCAAUGCCCUGGGAUACUCCCUUGUACCACAGUCUGAAAACACUUCAUCCUCUAUUAAAGCCCUAGUUCUUGAGGGACUAUUUAGUAUUAUAUUUGUAAAGGACCUAACUAGGGUGAUAACUAUAUGCCACCCUCAAGAGAGACGAUGAUCAUAUUGCCCUCAGGGAGGCACCACCUCGGUCCAAGUUUUCCUUAUUGGUCAUUCAUAGAAAACUUGGGAUAAGAAGUGUCUUGGGCAGCGAGAAGUCAAGGUUAAUAACUGACCCACACCCCCUUGAAAAUAGGGGUUCAAUGGUCCACCAUUAACUAGGUGGGCAAUGACCUUUCCCAAGGAAACCUUAGGCCUAAAGCCUCUAUAAAUACUCCUCUCACAGGGGGAUAAUGACAUAUCUUAAGCCAUAUAGAUCCUAAUUCAUACGCCUAUACACAAGAAACCAACACAUAUAUAAAGCCUCUAAACCACCACAAAACGCUAACGUACAGGGCUUCUUGCUGCAGUGAGCAAGCCUUACCUACCAUAUAACGUAAUAUACGUACUAAGGCCUCUAAAUACUCAUGCCCUUAUAAGGGUAACAUGCACACAUGUACUUUUUGACCAGUACAAAUUCUAUUUUUAACUGCCAAAACCAUAAAGAUCCAAUUCAAACCCUAAGACCCAUCAUCGGCCUAACCCGAUAUCUGAAUGCCAUGUUUCAACACUCAUUAAUAAAAUUCUUAUAAGAUUCAUCCAUGAUCCAUGUACAUUCAAGCUAAAAUGACUUUUGAAAAUAAGUAUUAUGAACACUAUAAAGAUCAAUCAAUAAAGGACAAUGAUAAGAUAUUUAAACUCUAGUAAGUACCUUGAAUAAAUAUUUAGGGAAAUAUAAUUUCCAAUCUAAAUUACACAUUUCUAAGUCCAGUCUUUCAAAGAUAUGAUUUAAACUCUAGUAAGUACCUUGAAUAAAUAUUUAGGGAAAUAUAAUUUCCAAUCUAAAUUACACAUUUCUAAGUCCAGUCUUUCAAAGAUAUGAACACCAGUAUUUUAUAAUUUUUAUUUGCUUUAAUUUUGUUGUUUUUUGUUCAAGAUUUUUGUGCAAUGGAUUGUAAUGUUGAAUAUGGUUCAAAUGUAUUUUGAUUAUGUUUUCGGGACUAAACAUAUCAGGAAAUAAAAUUGUUCUUAUAUGUUAUGAAAUAUAUAUUUAGAGAAAAUUAUAAGCCUUUUAUCAAAAGACUAAUUAAAGAAGGUAUUCCCCAUAAUCUCGACUUCUCUAAUUUUUACACCUGUCUGAUUGCUUAAAAGAAAAGUUCACUUGCAAGACUAGGAAUAGAAAAAUGAAAAAAUGUAAUGGUGUUAUUCAUAUGAUUCAGAUACACAUGUGCAAACCUAUUUCUAUGGGUGGGAAUAAGUAUUUCAUCACUUUCAUAAAUGACUUUUCAAGAUUCGGAUGGAUAGAUCUUCUACAAGAAAAUUCUAGUUCUUCAGAUGCAUUCAAAUUCUUUAUAGCCACUGAUUUAGAAAUAAGAAAGAAAAUUAAAUGUAUGAGUUCCCACAUUGAGAAUAAUAUCAUGGUGGAUAUAAUGAAACAUAAAGAAAUCCAUUAUUGUUUGCUAGUUUUUAGAUGAAUGUGGAAUUAAGACUUAGUACACUAUGGCAGGAACUCCUCAACAUAAUGUAGUUUGCAUAAAUAUGUAAUCGAAUACUCACAGACACAAUCAUAUGCAUGACGACUCCUUUUGCAUUUCCUCAGUUUCUUUGUGUAAAGAUUUUGAAUAUUGUUGUAUACAUUCUUAAUCUAAUGUCUAACAAAUCUUUGUUGAAAACUCCCAAUUAUUUUAUAACUUGUAGGAUACCAAGCUUAACACAUUUUCACAUGCGGGGUUAUAAGGAAUGAGUCAGAACUUAUAAUCUUUAAUAGAAGGAAUUUGAUAUUAAGAGUACCCGUGGUUCCUUUCUCAUUCUAUGCCAAUUAUUGAGUUUUUUCGGCAAGUUUUAUUUAAGGAGGAAUUGAGUAAUGAGAGUUCUAUGUAACAUCUAUUUAGUCUAAAAAAUAAUGUGAUUUUAUUUGUUUUUCCUCCCUCUUGUAGAUAUUAUAUGUUGAGUUUGGCUUAUAGGUAAUAUUCCUUAUGCCAUUGCAGUUGGUUAUUUGAUGUAUGUUAUUGUUUGCACUAGACUGGAUUUGACACAAGCAGUUACUCAAAUGUGCAAGUUCAUGUCCAAGCUAAGUAAUAAGCAUUUGGAAGUAGCCAAGUGGAUCCUAAGGUACUUGAAGGGUACAAUAAAUCAUUGUAUCAUGUUCAACACAAAGCAUGGUGUCCCAUCAAUAGAAGGUCUACAACAGCUUAUGCAUUUACUCUUGCAGGGGAGCCUAUAUGUCGGAAAUAAUUAGUUCAAUCCAUAAUAGCUAUGUCUACAACUGAGACAGAAUACAUGGCACUAGCUGAAGCUUCCAAGGAAGAAUUGUGGCUUACAGGGUUAGUGAAAGAGUUGGGCAUUGAGCAAGGUGGAAUUCAGUUGCAUUGUGAUAGUUAUAGUGCUAUAUAUUUGGCGAACAAUAAGGCGUAUCAUGAUAGGACCAGGAAUAUUGAUGUUAGGUUCCACAAGAUCGGAUAGUUGGUGGCGUCCAGACAAAUAUUACUUCAAAAGGUUCACACUAGAAUUCAACUGAUAUUUUAACCAAGCCAGUCAACAUUGAAAAGUUCAAACACAGUUUUGACAUGUUACAUGUUUCUCAGUGUUAAGUAGGAAAUUCACACCCCCAGUUGAUAGGAUAUGUUUGGUAUUAUACAGUUAAUCUUCAUAUGGGUUUGAUAUUCUCCAAGGUGAAAAUUAUUGAGUUAGGCUCAGAGGUAAUGGAAAGUACGACUUAUGGGUAUUAUUGUAAUCUGGAUCACUAAUAUCCCUAUAUAUGCUUGUAACACUGAAACCCUAAUGUGUAAUUCAUAAUAAAUUAAUAAGACAGAACUAUAGCUUUUCUAUAGUCGCAGAUGUAGGCAAUUUGGUCUAACCGCGUGAACUAAUAUUUCUUGUGUUUCUCUUUACUCUGAUAUGUAUUCACGUACCUGUUCAAACAUUAUGAUUCCAAUUAGUUAGAACAAUGAUAUGAUUUUCAAGAUAACCAACUAGCUGCAUUGUAAACUUAUGAUCAAUAACCUAAUGAUAUUCUAGAUCCUAUUGACAUUGCUAAAAUAAGUGAUGUUGCAAAAGUAAUUCCCUUGAGAAGAUCUCAAAGAGCACACAAGCCUUCAAUACCCAUUAGCAUGUUAUGUAUUUUCAAGAGCAUUAGUUUGAUAUCCCCGAUGAUAAUAAUCCUACAACUUAUACUUAGAGCUGAAUAGAUCUAGAUCAUAACUUUUGUGUUAUGAUUUUAUUUUUUUGAAUGGUGAAAUAAUAUAUUAAUAAAGAAUGGGGGAAAAUCCAACAAAGAAAAAUAAAGAGUAAAAAAGGCCUAUGGAGUGUCAAGCCAACAAAGCAAUUAACAAACAGGAGAACAACAAAAACAAAAACACAAUGAAUUCACUUGAUUUGGUUUUAGUUUGCUUUUACUGUUAGGGAUGAGAAUAUCUAAAUUUCCUAUUGUCGUUUGGUACUUUUAGUGUUAUCCAUGCUCCAUUUACUUUUAAUUUAAAUGAGAUGUUAAUUAAAUAAUCUUGUCCCUACUUUCAGCCUCAAAAUAUUUGUUGGCUAGUUUCAGCAUGACGUCGGCCAACCCUUUAGAUUUUAUCGCACUCUGGAUAACUUUAAUUUUUCUUUCUAUAAGAAAUUUUGGGGGCUUAUUAAGUCGGAUAAGUUUUCAUAAUGUUGUUAUGUUGAAGAGCGUGGCGUCUUUAUUUCUUGCUAUUAUCCCAAUGGUUGAUUCUUCUUUGGAGUUGGGAGACUUUAGAUCUAUUUCUCUUCGUGGUCUUUUGUAUAAACUGGUGGCAUAGGUGUUCACUGCUAGACUGUCUAGGGUGAUAGGGAGUAUUAUUUCCUCAGGAAAAUCGACUUGGUACCACAUUUUUACAUUCAAAAUAUUAUGAUUGUAGACACAAUUUCUAUGUGGUGUUACAAUUGGAAUCAGAGCUGGUCGAUCCUCGACCUAGACAUGAGACAUCAAUAAGUAAUUCUUUCUUCCUUAUAUAUGUGCAUUGCUGACCUAAAUUCUAAUGUCAUAGUAUUUAGCUAUUAAGCCUGAUCAACUUGGUAUCUAUUUAUGUGAUAGGUAGAAAUAUGGCUGAGUGACCACGAGGAUGUGGGAGGCCUAUAGGCACUCGUGCUCAAAAUGUGGAGCCAAACUAAAGGUCUGCAAAUGAUGAGAACCACUGGGCGCAUAUGAUGCACCAUUAUCAACAACAUCAGUUUCAAAUGCAACAAUAAUAAAAUGAAUUUAUGAUUCAGUUGGUGCAAUAAUUGCAAGGUGGUGCACAACCUCAACCUCCUUAGCAGGGAGUGGGGAAUCAAAGCUUUCAGGACUUUUAUCGGAUGAAGGAAGUCCCAAUCCCCUUUUGGCACAUGACUGGCUUAGAAGUAUGGAGAGGAUAUUUCAAGCAGCUUUGCCAAGGAAGUAUGUCAGUGGCAGAGUUCGCAGAAAAAAUUGAGGAUAUGGAGGCCUAAUAAGUGGAAUCAUGGUAGACUUAAUCAUCAAUUGAAACCGAAGGGAUCCCCAUUAAAAGGGAAUCAAGUUCAUGGUGCAAAACUAGUGUAGCCACCAUAGUGUCAUUCUUAUAAGAGACAUCAUUUUGAGAGAUUCCAAUCUAAAGUAUUUAGAUGUUAUCAUUGCCACGAGAUGGGCUACAUGGAAUGAAAUUGUCCCAGGAAGAAACUUCAAGAGUCCUCAGGAAAGUACUAGUUGGAACUGACAAAGUUUACACCUUGGACAUCAAGAAAGCUAAUGGUAACAAUGAUCUGAUAGCAUGUAUGUGUUAUAUGUACUAUCAACCACUUUUUGUCCUUUUUGAUUAUGGAGCGUCACACUUAUUCAUUUCCUCCAAGUGUGUGAAGAGGCUCGGGUUAUAAGAAAUUCCACUACCGUCUUCGAUGGUAGUUACCACAAUUAUGGAUAACAAUAUAGAAACUCAAUGGGUGCGUGAGAAUUAACCGAUAUCUAUUAAUGGUCGUGUUUUCUUAAUCGACUUGAUAUGCUUACCUUUCAAGAGGAUUGAUAUGGUAUUGGGAAUUCAUUGGCUCUCCGCCAAUUUAGUAUACACUAGUUGUAAGGAGAAAGUUGUUUUCAUACCCCUUGAAGCAGCUACCCUAGGUGACGUGAUGUCCACACUUUUGGAAGGUACUACUCGCAUGAUCAAUAGUAUUUAAGAGCAAGAUAAAAAUUUCUUGUUGUUUAUCAUUAUGGAUGUGGGCGAGAGGAAACAUACAUAUUUAAUCCCAAUAGCGUGUGAAUUUUCCGAUGUGCUCCCGGAGGAUGUCACUUUUUUGUCUCCUAAAAGAGAAGUGGAAUUCUCCAUAGACCUAGUCCCAGGAUUGCCCCAAUUUCUAUUUCACCAUAUUGGAUGUCUCUAGUGGAAUUAAGGGAGUUGAUGAUUCAGUUAGAGGAUUUUCUGGAGAAGAAUUUGAUUCGACCAAGUGUGUCUCUAUGGGGUGCUUCUGUCUUGUUAGUGAAGAAGAAAGAUGGUGGUAUGCAGUUAUGUAUAAAUUACCUCCAACUUAAAAAAGUCACUAUUAAGAAUAAAUAUCCUUUACCUCAGAUUGAUUACCUCCUAUAUCAGUUUAAAGGAGGUAGUGUGUACUCAAAGAUUGAUCUACCAUAAAGGCAUUAUCAAAUUUGAGGAAAGAGUUCCGGCACACCAAAGACCACAUUCAGAAUCUGGUAGGGAACACUACGAGUUCCUGGUAAUUCCUUUUUGGAGUUACAAACUUUACAACUAUUUUCAUGGAUUACAUGAACCAGAUGUUCUAACCAUACUUGGAUAAGUUUUUUGUGAUAUUCAUAUAUGAUAUUCUGAUUUACUCUCAUACUCCCUAAGAGCAUGAAGAGUAUUUGAGGAUUCUGCUUUCUUUUUUGUGGGAAAAGAAACUUUUCGAAAAGUUCAGCAAGUGUGAAUUCUGGAUGUUGGAAGUUAAAUUCGUUUGGCAUGUAAUUUAUCAUGAAGGUAUGGCGGUAGGCCCUUCGAAAGUAGAAGAAAUAUUAAUUGGUAAAGUCCUAAGAAUGCAUCUGGUGUUAGCAGCUUCUUAGUAUUAGUUGUGCAUUAUCGAAGAUUCAUCAUGAUAUUUUCUCAAUUGGCAUUGCCUUUAACUAGGCUCACUUGCAAAGAAGUCCCAUUUAGUUGGAACUCAGAGUGUGAGCAGAGUUUUUGUAAGCUAAAAGAAAAGUUGACUACCGCUCCCGUCCAAAUCAUCCUUGAUCCUACUCAAAAGUAUGAAGUAUUCUGUUACACAUUGGAGAAGGGGUUAGGAUGUGUAUUGAUGCAUAAUGGCCAAAUGGUAGCUUACACUUCCCGUAAGCUAAAGCAUCAUGAAGAAAAUUACCUAACACGUGAUAUUGAGUGAGAUGUGAUUAUCUUUGCACUCAAAGUGUAGAGACACUACCUAUAUAGAGUACACUUUGAGAUGUUUAGUGAUAAUAAGAGUUUGAAAUAUCUAUUUGAUCAAAAAGAGCUGAACACACGUCAACAAAGAUGGAUAAAGUUUAUGAAGGAUUAUGACUUCAAAUUGAGGUAUCAUCCUGAUAAAGUCAAUAAGGUAGCAAAUCUUCUUAAUAGAAAAGAGAUGCAUACAUCAUAGUUAAUGUUGUUGGAGCAUGAUCUAUUGGAGAGGUUUUAAGACCUUGACCUACAAUUCACAUGGACUAAGGUAGAAGUCCUAAUUAGCAAAAUGAGUGUCCUAUGUGACCUGAGGGAAAGGAUAAGGUAAGCCUAGCUAGCCAAUGCAUAUUUGAAAUUUAGGAUUAACCAUCCAAGUUUCACCCAAGUCGCAGAUGUGGUUCUUUUGUUUAAUCAGAGGAUGUGUGUGCCAAAUAAUUCGAAAGUGAGAAGAGUAGCCAUAGAUGAGGCUCAUAAGAGCGAUUUUACCAUUCACGAUUUCUCUUCUAAGAUGUAUCAAGAUUUGAAGAAGAAUUUUUGGUGGCCCGGUAUGAAAAAGGAUAUUACGGAGUGGCCUAUUUUUGUUUCAAAAUUACCCUUUAUCUUUUUUAUAAAUAACUUGAGUGAUUAAUAUCUUUUGUUGGUUAUCGAUUGAUAAACUUACUUCCAUCUCUCACAAAAAAAAAUCUAUAACUUCAUUAACCGUUGAAAAUGAUGACACAAUUUAAAGAAUCCACUGCUGCACUCGACUACUGUUGAUCUCGCAUAGGCUGGGCCAAAGAAUAUAUAACAGUGAAAAGGUAUAGCAUGGAUGCGUGGGCUCGCGAUCAAUCGAGAAAUAUAUUACAUUUCUAAAUAUAUUUUAUUCUUUAAAUAUUCAUCUAUUAUUCUCAAUCAGCAUACUAUUUUUUUGUUGAACUUUUUAAUUCUAUUAUAUUUCUAUCUUACUUUUUGAUUUUCUAUUGUAACUUUCUAAUAUGGAGUAUUUUUUUACUCCAAUAUAAUUUAUUUUAAUACCUCUCACCAUAUUUUCAAAAUUGGCAAUAGUUCUCUUAAAUAACGGUAAUGAAUAGUUUUUCACAACUUAAAACACCUCAUUGUUGCAAGAUAUGAUCAUACAUCUUUGCUCUAAAAAAGGAUAUACUUUCUAUCUUAGGUUUUGAUUUGCGUUGUAACUUUCUAAUAUGCGGUAUUUUUUUAACUCCCAAUAUAAUUUAUUUUAAUAACCUCCACCAUAUUUUUAAAAUUGGCAAUAGGUUCUUUUAAUAACGGUAAUGAAAGUUUUUUCACGUUAUCUUGAAAUAAUUGCUUGCUUGCCAUAAGGUUCAAUGUAAAUACUUUCAUUUUUCAUUUUAAUUGAUAUGAAUUUUUCCAUCAUAUAAAGGUUUUUGUGUUUGUAAUGGUUGUUUUGAUGAUAUUUUAUUGGAUACUCUGCAGUAAAAUUUAUUAAUUAUUUUUAUAUACCGUAACUGCGAGUCCACGCGCAAAUGAAAGGAGUAGCUUGAAACAAACAUAAUCAUUCUUAUCCCGCUCUAGCAAUCAAAAUAUAGGCAACAUGCAAAGGUUGUGAAGGAAAAAUAAUAAAAAUGUUAUGUUUUUUGUUAGCAGUUAUUACAGGUUGAUAUAGGGCAUUAACUAUCUUUCCCUAUAACUUAAUAUACUUACUUUGAAGUCUGAUAGUUUGUUUCUUAACAUUCACUAUUAAGGUAAACUUUUUCCUAUAAAGAAUAUCAAAACUUCUUAAAUUUUAUGUAUUUCAUUAUUGCUGCAACGUUCUAACUUUAAAAAAUAAAAUUUGCUUUGUGUUUGUUUAAAAUCGUUCAUUCACUUCUUAUCAUAAAAAUGGCAGGGAUUAAUAAAAAUAAAACAACUAUGUAGUACUCCUAAUUGUUCUUUUUUCAAACUUAAGCAAGUGGCAAUGUAAAAAGUUGAGAAGUAACUACAUAUUACUGAUGGAAGAAAAUACAUGGCGAGGAACUAACGAGGUGGAAGAAAAUGCAUAAUAAAAAAGGGUGUUGUGUUAAAGGGGUGAGAGAGAAGAGAGUUUCAGGAAUUAUAUAAAUGAUUUAUUUGUGAUAAACCUAUUUCACAAAUUAUGCUAAUUUAUAUUUUAUAAAUCAAGGUAAUCAUCAUCUUAUAAUACUAUGUGAUUUUUAAGCAUUGUACGAAAUAUAUGAUAAAUAUCAUAAUUGUUGAGACCGAGAGAGUGUCAAAAUAGAAUGCAAGAUA
rnacentral:lncRNA from 1 species